rnacentral:rRNA from 1 species
AGCAGCCGCGGUAAUUCCAGCUCCAAUAGCGUAUAUUAAAGUUGUUGCAGUUAAAAAGCUCGUAGUUGAAUUUCGGGAUCAAUAUGUUGGUCGUGCCUUGGUACGUACUGGCAUUAUUGGUUUCUACCUUCUGAAGAACCUCGAUGUCAUUAAUUUGGUGUCUUGGGGAAUCAGGACUGUUACUUUGAAAAAAAUUAGAGUGUUUAAAGCAGGCUCGCGCUUGAAUACAUUAGCAUGGAAUAAUGAAAUAGGACGUUUGAUUCUAUUUUGUUGGUUUCUAGGAUUGACGUAAUGAUUAAUAGGGAUAGUUGGGGGCAUUAGUAUUCAAUUGUCAGAGGUGAAAUUCUUGGAUUUAUUGAGGACUAACUACUGCGAAAGCAUUUGCCAAGGAUGUUUUCAUUAAUCAAGAACGAAAGUUAGGGGAUCGAAGACGAUCAGAUACCGUCGUAGUCUUAACCAUAAACUAUGCCGACUAGGGAUCGAAUGAUGUUAAUUUUUAAUGACUCAUUCGGCGCCUUAA